rnacentral:rRNA from 1 species
ACGUCCAAGUGGGAGUACUCCUUCUAAGCUAAAUAUCACCACGAGACCGAUAGCGAACAAGUACCGUGAGGGAAAGUUGAAAAGCACUCUGAAUAGAGAGUCAAAAAGUACGUGAAACUGCCUAGGGCUCAAGCCCGUUGAACUCGAUUAUCCGAGCGGAGACAUUCACCUGCGGUCGGCCGGCGCUCCCACCGAGUGCCGGUAAGCCGCAGGGCACUUGUCUCCCGCGUUCCACGAGGACAUUGCGAUCCAUUACGAAACGGCUUUGGCGGGUGUCGCAAGACGCCUGCAAGGUUGCCCGACAGUUGCCCCUUGGUGCCGGUUGUUUGCCCCACAGUAGCGACGCUCAGUUCCGAAGGCCUGUGCCGCGAGCUGGGGCAUUACUGCACGUGGUGUUUUGCAGUCGGGCGCGUGAUGGAUUUCCGCGUACACCGCCGGCCUUCCCGCAUAGGGCCCGUGCGGACUGUCGAUCGGCAAUGAUAAAAUCGAGGUACCUCCGGGACCCGUCUUGAAACACGGAAAGAAAAAAUCCCCAA